AGCUAGGGGGCAGCGUCAUUUAGUUACUUAUGGUUCGUGCAAGACAACUGGGAACUCGGAAAAAAACGAGAUCAAAUCGUCCGUGAUCAUAAGGUCGGAAAUUCGGAGCUUUAAAAAGAGGCACGAAUUCCUGACUUGGAAUUCGGAUUUGGAUGACCGUUCAAACUAACUUUCCCAGUCGGAGCUCGUUUUUUACGAGUUCCCUGUUAUCGUGAACGCAUUGAAGUCGGCGAUUUCCGAGCUCCAGUUGGAGCGCUUCUGUUGGGAUGACGUUCGUUGACUCUGUAAUAUUCAUAUGGAAAAUUGGAUGCAUUUUACCGCCGUAUCAUGAUUGGUUAAGACCACCCAGACGGUUAGGUCAGAGCAGUUGAUCGUGGUUGGAGAUAGGCUAAUAGGUAGUUGUAACUAGUUAAUGAAGAGUUAUGUUAAGAAACAUCCUGUAGUUCUGAGUUUUAUUAUUUUGUACAAAGCGUACAAAACAAGACAUGGUGUCAGAGUAAAUGGUCUUAAAAUAUGGAUUUUUCUGGAGUUCCUGGGAGUCUACAAACUUACCCAAUGCAUGGCGUAAGUACAAACAGCAUGUGGAGCUAAUGUUCACGGGUCCUCUGAAGGAAAGAGAAGAGGAAAAAUGUAGCUACCUGCUCCUCUGGAUCGGUGAAAAAGGGAGAGAUAUUUACAACACAUGGACACUUACCGAGGCUGAAUCAAAGCUAUUUCUUGGACAGAUGCCGUACUCCAGGAGCUCUUUGAGACUUCCGAUGUCCACAAUGAGGUCUCACCACCAUCGCUCACAGCCUCAUCAGACUGGGCUAGCAGACAGCAAAUGACUUCAGAAAGGCUGAGGGAGGCGAGACCAUAUCUCAUUGACAACUGGCAACAGUGUGGUACCAACCCAGCUGUCUUGCGCUGUAGCGACCGCCUUCCGUGUCCCUUCUUUGGUGCCGAUUUUUGACAAAGCCAGGCAUUCUCUUUUUGUGUUCCACAAUCGGGAUGCCAUGAUGAAAGGCUUCCUACAGCCACGGCCUCCUACUGCCAGCAUCAGCCAUUGACGGCAGCCCUGAACUGCAUUGCUGGUUAAGGACUUGUAAGCAUUUCACAGUAAGGUCUACACCCGUUGUAUUAGGUGCAUGUGCCAAUUUAAGAUUUGAUUUGAUCCAAACCAACUUGGUAACGUUUUAGUGUUUUAAAGAUAACAUUCUAUUUACCUUC